CCUACGGGCGGCAGCAGUGAGGAAUAUUGGUCAAUGGGAGGAAUCCUGAACCAGCCAUGCCGCGUGCAGGACGACGGCUCUACGAGUUGUAAACUGCUUUUGUACCGGGGUAAAAUGCUCUACGAGUAGGGUUUUGAAAGUACGGUACGAAUAAGGAUCGGCUAACUCCGUGCCAGCAGCCGCGGUAAUACGAAGGAUCCGAGCGUUAUCCGGAUUUAUUGGGUUUAAAGGGUGCGUAGGUUGUUUUAUAAGUUAGCGGUGAAAUACCGAUGCUCAACAUCGGGGCUGCCGCUGAUACUGUAGGACUAGAGAUCGGAUGCAGCAGGCGGAAUGUGUAGUGUAGCGGUGAAAUGCAUAGAUAUUACACAGAACACCGAUUGCGAAGGCAGCUUGCUAGGCCGGAUCUGACACUGAUGCACGAAAGCGUGGGGAUCGAACAGGAUUAGAUACCCUUGUAGUC
rnacentral:rRNA from 1 species